rnacentral:rRNA from 1 species
GGGAGGCAGCAGUGAGGAAUCUUGCGCAAUGCGCGAAAGCGUGACGCAGCAACGCCGCGUGUGGGAAGACGGCCUUCGGGUUGUAAACCACUUUCAGUUGGGACGAAUGGCAGUCUGUGAAUAGCAGCUCUGCUUGACGGUACCUUCACAAGAAGCCCCGGCUAACUACGUGCCAGCAGCCGCGGUAAUACGUAGGGGGCAAGCGUUGUCCGGAAUCAUUGGGCGUAAAGCGCGUGUAGGCGGGUCGGUAAGUCUGCUCUGAAAGUCCAAGGCUCAACCUUGGGAUGCGGGUGGAUACUGCCGACCUCGAGUCCGGAAGAGGCGAGUGGAAUUCCUGGUGUAGCGGUGAAAUGCGCAGAUAUCAGGAGGAACACCAAUGGCGAAGGCAGCUCGUUGGGACGUGACUGACGCUGAGACGCGAAAGCGUGGGGAGCAAACAGGAUUAGAUACCCUGGUAGUCC